rnacentral:rRNA from 1 species
AUUGAACGCUGGCGGAAUGCUUUACACAUGCAAGUCGAACGAUAAAGCCUAGCUUGCUAGGUCGAUUAGUGGCGAACGGGUGAGUAAUAUAUCGGAACGUAUCCAAUAAUGGGGGAUGACUAGUCGAAAGAUUGGCUAAUACCGCAUACGUCCUACGGGAGAAAGCUGGGGAUCGUAAGACCUGGCGUUAAUGGAGCGGCCGAUAUCUGAUUAGCUAGUUGGUGAGGUAAAGGCUCACCAAGGCGACGAUCAGUAGCUGGUCUGAGAGGGCGACCAGCCACACUGGAACUGAGACACGGUCCAGACUCCUACGGGAGGCAGCAGUGGGGAAUUUUGGACAAUGGGCGAAAGCCUGAUCCAGCCAUUCCGCGUGAGUGAAGAAGGCCUUCGGGUUGUAAAGCUCUUUCGCAAGGGAAGAACACUUACUUAAUAACACUAAGUGAGGUUGACGGUACCUUGAUAAGAAGCACCGGCUAACUACGUGCCAGCAGCCGCGGUAACAC